UACGGAGGGUGCAAGCGUUAAUCGGAAUUACUGGGCGUAAAGGGUGCGUAGGCGGUCCCAUAAGUCAGUGGUGAAAUCCUCUAGCUCAACUAGAGAUGUGCCAUUGAUACUGCGGGACUUGAGUGAAGUCGAAGUAGGCGGAAUUGACGGUGUAGCGGUGAAAUGCUUAGAUAUCGUCAAGAACACCGAUAGUGAAGACAGCUUACUAGGCUUAUACUGACGCUGAGGCACGAAAAGUGUGGGGAUCAAACAGG
rnacentral:rRNA from 1 species